GACUGGCAUGCACCUGUGACUUACAUAAACCAGACCUCUACAUAGCCUACAUGUCUUCAUUUUGCUGAAGACUGCCCAUCAUCCUAGCCUGUUAUCUGUGAUAAAGCACACUGAAGUUAGGUUUGGAAUGCAUCCUUAUCAUGAAUGCUCUACACCUCCACCUCCAUCUCCCACAACCUAGGUAACAGCUUUGAGACUCACUAAAAGUUGAACCCCCUGAAUGAUGUAGGCUAUGGGGCCACAUAAGACUUUGUCCAUCCAGGGUUACAUUGAACGACAACUUUAAACUAAAAAACCAACAUUUUUCACACAACUCCAGGUUGUUAC